UCCUACACCAUUGGGUGUGGCAAAAGGGCUCCUCCAUGGUGUGUGUGCAAGCAUGGCCAUGGCUGAUUGUAAACUCAAAUGUUUUUCACUUAUUUGGUGACUUGGGACUCUGUCAUUCCCAUCUAAGAUAAAAGGGAAAUUUCCUCAAGGACUGCAGUGUACUUUGCCCUUACAGCCCUCUGCUCGUGGUACACAGUUCCAGCACUCUUUCUCUUCUCACAGGGGCAGCCUUCCCAAGUAUUCUUGACAGGUGCCUGAGGAAGAUGCUUCUGGAAUUCAUCUACUAGCUCAUGAGGUUAACUGUGAAGCUGCCACAAAGGAGUUACUGCCCCAGUACAUGCUUUAAAGCUUGAGAACUCAUCAUGCUGCAGUGGGGGAAACACUCUUCUGAAUGUAUCAGGAGAAGAACUGCUUCCAUCUAGGAGGGCUGGAUGCAGUCUCCAAGUCUGAUGACAGCCCAGAGUCCUUCAAGACAUCUACAGCUGACAUUCCAGGACAAUGUUGUGAUGGCAUGAAAGAGCUCAGAGGGGGUGCUGUAAACAUUGCCACUUUUCAGAUGAACUAUAUUUUCCAGCUGGGAGGUUCUGUGAUUACAAGUGUGAAGGGGGAAGUUGCUCUCUUCACUGACUUCAUGUUCAAAAGUGCUUGACUUCCACUGGGACUUAGCCCUGUUGAAAAACAAGGCAUUUAUUUACCCGCCUGUCUUUGGAUGUCAAGGGCCCACAGUCCCAUGGAGUAUGUAUCAACGCAUAACUAAAGGAGAAGAAACAAUGCAGCAAACCUUAAUGUUUGUGACUACAGUAGCUACUAAUGAGCUCUUCUGCUGAUAACCAAUAUUUUUUAUUUUUUCCUCCCAAACUGCCUAAGCCAUAGUUGUUUCAAAAUCAUUUCCUAUAUCCUCAUUUAGUCCAUCUGAUAAUGCCAUCAGACAUUGUCUCCUGAGAAGACUGAAAGGGGGAGUAUCCAGAGCCAGUUUAAAAUUCACUUUUCUCCACUUGCUUUUUAAUCCGUGUCAAGUUAUGGUAGAUAUUCUUUUCUAAGAGACAGUUCAGGCUUCUUGAUCUGUCUUAGCAGCGCUGUUUUGCUUUUCAAAUCAGCAAACAAGAAGCCAUGCCUUAAAUAAGCCACUUCAUUAUCUUUUGUUUUGGAUAUUUUAGGGUUUUUCCUAAAAAAACCCAAAGCAAUAAAUUGUUUAUAAUU